rnacentral:rRNA from 1 species
UACGUAGGGUGCGAGCGUUGUCCGGAAUUAUUGGGCGUAAAGAGCUCGUAGGCGGUCUGUCGCGUCGAAUGUGAAAACCCGGGGCUCAACUCCGGGCUUGCAUUCGAUACGGGCAGGCUAGAGUUCGGUAGGGGAGUCUGGAAUUCCUGGUGUAGCGGUGAAAUGCGCAGAUAUCAGGAGGAACACCGGUGGCGAAGGCGGGACUCUGGGCCGAUACUGACGCUCAUGCACGAAAGCGUGGGGAGCAAACAGG